CCUAGUCUUUCCUAAUCAAACUCAAUCCCAGAAAGCCCAAUCAUGGAAUGGAGUCCUGCUUUCAUUUGGGAUCUGACAUAAAGAAGAUGAUGUUUGAGUCAUGGCCUGAACAAAGUAAAUUAGAAGGGGCAAGAGGAGUGAGGGAAGAAGGAGGAAGAAAAGAAAAGGAGCAAUAAGAGGAGAAAGAAGAAAGAAGAACAG
rnacentral:lncRNA from 1 species